CCCCAGUUCCUGUCAGUCACAAACUCUCCCCCACCCCUGCCCCAGCUUCCAUGGCUCAGAGUGGCACUGCAGCUCUCUCUGCCCGAGUCACCCAGGCUGCAGGACAGAGAAGAUAAGGCAUCUGAACCAAAGCACUGAUGAUGGUGUUGAGAGCUGUGGGUUUCCUGUGACUGGCAGAGAGAGCUGGUAUCGCUGCUGGGCAACUCCUUGGUCAGCAGUGAUUCCUACUUGGGGGGCAGAAGGCAUGGGAAGUCCUGGUGUGAGUGUCAUGUCACCCUGUGCAGGACUAUCUCCAAGGGAAAAGAGCCAGGACCCACACGGCCUUGAUACUGGCCUACAGCCGAAUUGCUGUCCAUGCCCCCCAAACGCAGCUGCUCUCCCGCGUGGAGCGUGACAUCACCAGGAAGGUCCUGCAGUAUUACACGACCAGCUGCCAGGUGCUUGGCAUCAACAUUGUCAAUAAGGACCCAGACUUAAAGCUGACCCUGAUUCAGUCAGUCACUGAGAUCAGCCGUGCCAUCCGGGAUGUAGACGACUCCCAGAACUUCCAGUUCACUUACAAAGAGGAGCUCCUGGGGUA